UCGAGCGGAACGAUGAUUCUGAACCUUCGGGGAACGAAUUAGGCGUCGAGCGGCGGACGGGUGAGUAAUGCCUGGGAAAUUGCCCUGAUGUGGGGGAUAACCAUUGGAAACGAUGGCUAAUACCGCAUAACGUCUACGGACCAAAGAGGGGGACCUUCGGGCCUCUCGCUUCAGGAUAUGCCCAGGUGGGAUUAGCUAGUUGGUGAGGUAAUGGCUCACCAAGGCGACGAUCCCUAGCUGGUCUGAGAGGAUGAUCAGCCACACUGGAACUGAGACACGGUCCAGACUCCUACGGGAGGCAGCAGUGGGGAAUAUUGCACAAUGGGCGCAAGCCUGAUGCAGCCAUGCCGCGUGUAUGAAGAAGGCCUUCGGGUUGUAAAGUACUUUCAGUCGUGAGGAAGGCGUUGAAGUUAAUAGCUUCAUCGUUUGACGUUAGCGACAGAAGAAGCACCGGCUAACUCCGUGCCAGCAGCCGCGGUAAUACGGAGGGUGCGAGCGUUAAUCGGAAUUACUGGGCGUAAAGCGCAUGCAGGUGGUUUGUUAAGUCAGAUGUGAAAGCCCGGGGCUCAACCUCGGAACCGCAUUUGAAACUGGCAGGCUAGAGUACUGUAGAGGGGGGUAGAAUUUCAGGUGUAGCGGUGAAAUGCGUAGAGAUCUGAAGGAAUACCAGUGGCGAAGGCGGCCCCCUGGACAGAUACUGACACUCAGAUGCGAAAGCGUGGGGAGCAAACAGGAUUAGAUACCCUGGUAGUCCACGCCGUAAACGAUGUCUACUUGGAGGUUGUGGCCUUGAGCCGUGCUUUCGGAGCUAACGCGUUAAGUAGACCGCCUGGGGAGUACGGUCGCAAGAUUAAAACUCAAAUGAAUUGACGGGGGCCCGCACAAGCGGUGGAGCAUGU
rnacentral:rRNA from 1 species